AAGUCGUAACAAGGUAUCUGUAGGUGAACCUGCAGAUGGAUCAUUUCGAUGAAAAACCUUUUUUCUUGAGGUGUGGCUCGCACCUGUCUAACUAAACUUGAGCUACCCCCUUUUAACACGGUUGCAUCGGUUGGCUGUCCAACAGCGCGGACCUCGCGUUCGCUGCUGGAAAGGCGGUCGACACUUUUUACACCAAAACACUUUUGAUGAUCUAGGAGUUGAAUGAAAAAAAAGUUUAAUUUUUUAACUAAAAAACAACUUUUGGCAACGGAUCUCUUGGUUCUCC
rnacentral:misc_RNA from 1 species